UUGCCCAGGUCUGAGUGCAAUAGACAUGAAAGAGAUGUGGCUGGUGAUAAGAAACGACAAAUUCUAGGAGAAAAAUGUAUUUAUUUGGAAGAUGCUCACUUUCUGCAAAAAGGUUACAGCUUGUUUGCAACUGAAAGUAAACUGUAGCAAUGUGAUGGAUUUGCCUAUGUGUGAAAUGGAUCUUCAACAAGGGAAUCACAAAACGUUUACACUUCUAGACAUGAGCACUCCCAACACACCGUAGUCUGCCUUUCCAAUUUCAUCCAACUGUGAUGGAAGGAAGAAAAAAUUCCGUAACAUCAAUGUGCACUUAAUUGUCAGAGGGAA
rnacentral:lncRNA from 1 species